CAACUCUCAACAACGGAUAUCUUGGCUCUCGCAACAAUAAAGAACGCAGCAAAAUGCGAUACGUAGUGUGAAUUGCAGAAUUCCGUGAACCAUCGAAUCUUUGAACGCAUAUUGCGCUCGAGCCCUCGGGCAAGAGCAUGUCUGCCUCAGCGUCGGUU
rnacentral:rRNA from 1 species